GACCAAGGAGUCUAACAUGUGCGCGAGUCGUAGGGUUACGCUCAAAGCCCGAAGGCGCAAUGAAAGUGAAGGUCGGCCUCGAUUGCCGUUACCUAGGCGGGAUCCGUUCGGGCUUACCGGUCGUUCGCGGCUGAGCCCGGCGGCGCACCGCCGGCCCGUCUCGACCGCAUCGCCGGUGAGGCGGAGCGAGAGCGUACACGUUGGGACCCGAAAGAUGGUGAACUAUGCCCGGGCAGGACGAAGCCAGAGGAAACUCUGGUGGAGGUCCGUAGCGAUUCUGACGUGCAAAUCGAUCGUCGGACCUGGGUAUAGUGCCGAAAGACUAAUCCAACCAUCUAGUAUUUUUUUCUU
rnacentral:rRNA from 1 species